rnacentral:lncRNA from 1 species
AACCAUAUUAGUGAUUGAUUGUGACUGAUAUAUCAUCCAAGGCAAUUAAACCUGCACAUAUUGUAAUGUUUGCAGCAUCAGUAGUGUGUGUCACUUCCAAAAUCUACCAGCAAGCUUGUCAUCUGAUAGUGUCCAGUUUGUUUAUUGAUAUUUGUGGCACAUUUAGUCGGAUCUUGUUUACUUGUGUAGUGCUUAUAUCCAACUUGUUUCAAAACAAUUUACAGAUAAUAAACAGAAAAAGAAAACAAUUUCAGAGUUGUAAUAUUCUUCCUUUUUUUUAUGCCAUCAGAUUUUGUUGCUUGUGCACAAACUGUCUUUACAUGUAAUGAAAUUUUUUGUUCUAGGAGGAUGAGAAAAGCAGCAAGAAACGAAACAAACACAAGAAAAAGGAAAAAGAUGAGGUGGGAACAGGAGAUGAGAAAGAAAAGAAGAAGAAGAAAUCAUCAAGGACCAAGAAAGCAGGAACCGUGGACGCUCUUGAGGCCUUCCUCACGGGUGGAGACGGACCAGGAAACAGUGAGGGCGGAAACUAUGAAGAACUCUAACCAAUCAGGUACUAUGAACAUUCACCUUGGCAUCAACCUGUUGAAACUGGAUUUUGAUUUCUGCCGGUAAAGAUGUUUUCUCAGAAUCCCACAAGGAGUUCAAGGUCAUCCUUAGGGUGAAUAGCCUGUAACUAAAGGUACGUUUAAAGACGUGCAGAUUCCUGUCUGUCUCGUGCAGCAAUCAUCUGCAUAUCUUAUGUGGCUGCAAAUUGGCUCCACACGCGCCUGAGAGCAUGUGAUGCAUCACGCUGUCACCAUGGAAGCACACGCCUGGGAAAACUGUCUCUACACGCUCACUGUGAUAAACAGUCCCACUGUCCUGGAUUUACGAGCAUACUGUUAAUACUCUAACCCCAAACCAGCCUAAGGGCAGAAGUGCGCACCUCGAACACAUAUCAACUUCCUUUUUACUCUGCCCUCUAGUGUGAUUGAGCCUGAAGGGCCCUUGAUUUAUUUAUCUAUUCGUUUGGCAUGCAUAUUUUUUCCGAACCACAUGAGAAAAGGAGAUGGGAAAUUAAUGUAUUGGUGCUGCAUUAGCUCUUGCUGGCUUUUGGACUGCAUGCAAUUAUUAGCAUAUUUCCUGUGUAAUGUUUCACAACUACUGCUUUCAUGGACCAAAAAUGUUUGAGAACACUAGUUUUAUACCGUAUAUUGGUUUUAUUUUAUUCAUAAA